UUUCAAACGAGGAAGGGCUUACGGUGGAUACCUAGGCACCCAGAGACGAGUAAGGGCGUGGUAAGCGACGAAAUUCUUUGGGGAGUUGAAAAUGAGCAUAGAUCCGGAGAUUCCUGAAUAGGUUAACCUUUUUAACUACUGCUGAAUCCAUGGGUAGGCAAGAGACAACUUGGUGAACUAAAACAUCUUAGUAGCCAGAGGAAUAGAAAGCAAAAGCGAUUCCCGUAGUAGCGGCGAGCGAAAUGGGAGCAGCCUAAACCGUGAAAAUGGGGUUGUGGGAGAGCAUAAUAUAAGCUCUGUGCUGCUAGGAGAAGCGGUUGAGUCCUGCACCCUAGAUGGUGAGAGUCCAGUAGCCAAAAGCAUCAUUGGGUUACGCUCUAACCCGAGUAGCAUGGGGCACGUGGAAUCCCGUGUGAAU
rnacentral:ncRNA from 1 species